rnacentral:rRNA from 1 species
GAUGAACGCUGGCGGCGUGCCUAAUACAUGCAAGUCGAGCGAACAGACGAGGAGCUUGCUCCUCUGACGUUAGCGGCGGACGGGUGAGUAACACGUGGAUAACCUACCUCUAAGACUGGGAUAACUUCGGGAAACCGGAGCUACUACCGGCGAAUAUAUUGAACCGCAUGGAUCAAUAGAGAAAGGCGGUUUUGCCGUUACUUAUAGAUGGAUCCGCGCCGGAUUGGCGGCUUGGUAAGGUAACGGCAAACCAAGGAAACGAUGCGUAUCCGACCUGAUGGGGUGAUCCGCCACACCUGAACCGAGACACGGUCCAGACUCCCACGGGAGGCAGCCGUAGGGAAUCUUCCGCAAUUGGCGGAAGCCUUACGCCGCAACGCCGCGUGAGUGAUGGAGGUCUUCCGAUCGUUAAACUCUUUUAUUAGGGAAAAACAAGUGUGUAAGUAACUAUCCACGUCUCUACGGUUCCCAAUAAGAUAGGCACCGCUAACUUCGGG